rnacentral:rRNA from 1 species
UACGGGGGGAGCAAGCGUUGUUCGAAUUUACUGGGCGUAAAGGGCGCGUAGGUGGAUAAGCAAGUGUGAUGUGAAAGCCCCGGGCUUAACCUGGGAAGUGCAUCGCAAACUGUUUGUCUAGAGUACGAGAGAGGGUGGUGGAAUUUCCGGUGUAGCGGUGAAAUGCGUAGAGAUCGGAAAGAACGUCAAUGGCGAAGGCAGCCACCUGGCUCGAUACUGACACUGAGGCGCGAAAGCGUGGGGAGCGAACAGG